CUACGGGUUGCAGCAGUGAGGAAUAUUGGUCAAUGGGCGCAAGCCUGAACCAGCCAUCCCGCGUGCAGGAAGACGGCGCUAUGCGUUGUAAACUGCUUUUCUGGAGGAAGAAUUGUCGCGACGAGUCGUGGUUUGACAGUACUCCAGGAAUAAGCAUCGGCUAACUCCGUGCCAGCAGCCGCGGUAAUACGGAGGAUGCGAGCGUUAUCCGGAUUCAUUGGGUUUAAAGGGUGCGUAGGCGGAUUAAUAAGUCAGUGAUGAAAUCCUGCAGCUUAACUGUAGAAUUGCCAUUGAUACUGUUAGUCUUGAGUUUGGUUAAGGUAGGCGGAAUGUGUAAUGUAGCGGUGAAAUGCUUAGAUAUUACCCAGAACACCAAUUGCGAAGGCAGCUUACUGGACCGAUACUGACGCUGAUGCACGAAAGCGUGGGGAGCAAACAGGAUUAGAUACCCCCGUAGUC
rnacentral:rRNA from 1 species